rnacentral:misc_RNA from 1 species
AUGGCAAGUAACACUGCGCCACAACCACGCAUACAAUUAUGCCAAGCUACUCGUUUAAUUGGCGUAACUCAUUAGAAUAAUACAUAUAAUGAAUUUAGCAUUACCUAUUGGAAUUUAUUUUUAAAUUAAAUUUCACUUAAUCUAUUUAUAAAAUAAUUAUCAAUAAAUUUAAGAGAUAUUUAAGUGACCUUAAAAAUUACAAAAUUUGAGUUUGAAUUAAAGUUAAAUAAAACGACAUGCUCUGAUGGUGACAAUGGCUGAGGAUGAGAUGACAUUAGCUAGCCAGCCAAAAAGGCAAAAAGACAAUAGAGACACUGCUCCAGGCUCCAGAUUAUUAUCCCCCCC